rnacentral:lncRNA from 10 species
UGGGAUUACAGGUGUGAGCCACUGUGCCCAGCCCUGGUUUUUUUCUCCAGAAACCCACCACAUGCCACAGAGCAGAGGGAAAGAAUCCAGAGACAAAGGAGCUAUGAGGAUUACCAGUAAAGUGGGACACUCAACUGCAUCCUGGAGCAGGAAAGGGCAUUACUGGAAAAACUGGUGAAAUCUGGCCAAAGCCUGGCUGCCAUUUCUCAGCUUCCUGAGAAAGAGCAGAUGGGAAAUUAGAGCCCACUCUUAGAUACCGACCACCUUCUGAUACCAGUGAGCAAGGCUGUCAAGAAAGAUCCCAAGAAGCAAGGACCCAAAGUGAUGCAAGGUCAUCAAAACCAGGUAACUUAAAGCUAUUAGGAUAUACUAACUUCCAAAUGCCUAGCCUUGAACUUCCACAAACAUUGACUUUUAAAUCGUUACAAUUCUUUGGAAUAGACAUUAUUAUGCACACUUUACUGAUAGAGAAGUGGAAACUCAGGCAGGUAAAUUUGAGGUUUUACAUGAUUCUUCCAUAGCUUUUUGUACUAUGGAAAACUACAUAACAGGCACAUACUCAUCUACAUAUCUAUAUAUCCAUAUAAACAUCAUCUUUACAUAGUUGAUGAAGUCCAAGAAAACUCAAAUGGAACUCAGUAAUUCCUAAGAAUUGUUAUGACUAAGGCUGUUAUGACUUGUUGUAUCUGGUGGUCCUUGAAAUUAUGAAAUAGUACUUCUUAAUAUACAUAUCAAUGCAUAUUUACUACGUGGCCCUGUUUGGGAAAGUUCUUAUCAGUGGUGAGCUAUUUUCAUUUAGUUUUUAAAGAAAGCGUUUUCAAGGAUUUCUGGGAACAGAGGAUACUUGUCACUUACAUGAACUUACCUGGCGAAGUCUCAAUUGGUCAAAUCCAAUCUUUAUUUCCACCUCCACAUUAACAGCUGAAAGUAGUUGGAGGAAAACACAGCCAGCCUACCUGGAUACAACCAGAAAUCAUAAGUUCCCCUUAAGGGAGCCCUCAUUAAGCCUGGUGGGUCUCUGCAGCCCUUUAUCCCAGUGGUUCUCCAGGGGAAGUCCCCUGGCCACAGUAUGGGCAUCACCUAUGGAAUCAGAAACUCGGGGGCUGAAACCCCACAAUUUCACCUUUAACCAGCGUGCCAGGUGAUUCUGAUGUGUGCUGAAGUUUGAGACUCACUGCAAAUUCUUUGACUCCCCCAUUGCUUCAAGAGGAUUAGUCCACUGUUGCUUUUCUCUCCUUAAAGCGGUGAUGCCCCUUCCUCCAUUCCCCCUCACAGAAAAUCUUGUUUCCUUUUCCCGUAAGAAUGCAGAAGCAGAAAGGAGAGGACUGUCACAUUCUGCCAUCCCCACCCCUGCCAGCCUGUGUGCAGCUUGACCGUAUGCUCUUCCUUCCCUGUUGUUACUCCUGUUUUCGUCCAGGGCCAUCCCCUCCACUCUGGCCCUAGUUUCUCUCCUUUGAAAUGCUCAAGGACAACAUGACCCCAGCAGUUCACCAAUUUCUCUCCUUCCUUUGCAUCCUACUGCAGCGUAAUCCCCAUCUAAAUCCAAGAAACAGACCCAAAUCCAAACUCUGUGGAUGCUACAUCCCCUCCAGCCCAUUUCUUUGUUCCCCUUUAUAUUAAUUUUUUUCAAAAAGUUGUCUAUACUUCUGUCAAGUUCCUCUGUUCUAUUUUCCGGUUGAACUUAUCCAAUCAAGUCUUUAUCCCUACCACUCACCAAAACGGUUCUUGUGAAGGAAGCUAUCAAUACCCCCAUUGCUAAAUCCAAUGGUCUGGUUUUAGUUCUCAUUUUAUAUCUUUGCCCCCAGCAUCUUCAACAGCUGAUGGCGCCCUCCUUUCUUCACUCAGCUUCUGGGACACCAGUGUUUCUCGUCCUCGCUCCUCACUGAUGCUCCUUCUCAGUCUCUUUGCUGGUUACUCCUCAUCUCUCUAACCUAAAAAUGUUGGAUUGCCUGUGGCCCAGAGCUGAGAUCUGUUUACUUCUCCAUUUCUAUUGAGUCCCAAAGGCAGUGAUUCUCAACUUUGGCUGCACUUCAGAAUCACUUGGGCAGCCUUGAAAACUCUCAGUGCACUGCAGAUCAGUGCAGUCAGUCUCCCGGGUGGGACAGAGGCCUCAGUCUGUUUUCACUGCAGAUCAGUGCAGUCAGUCUCCUGGGUGGGACAGAGGCCUCAGUCUGUUUUCAUAGCUUCCCAGGUGAUUGCUACAUGCAGCCAAGUUUGUGAACCAUUUCCCUGAGGGAUCUCAUCCAGUUUAUUGGCAAAUCAUCCACAUACUAACUACCCCAAUUUUAUAGCUAUGGCAAGUCCUUCUCCCUUACAAUCCAGAUGCCUACUCAUUGCUCACAAUCAGGUAGCUAAGAAGCAACUCAAACUUAAAAUGUUCCAAUUGAGCUAUGAUUGCAGCUAAAAAAUUCAAUCAUAGACUUCUUUGUCUUAGCAAAUGGAAACUCCACAUUUCCAAGUUCUUAAGGCAGAGAUCCUAGGUGCCCCCAACUCCACUCUCCCUCUGAAGCCUCACAUUCAAUUUGCAGCCAAUCCUACACUUCAAACCAUCCCCAUCACCUGCCUGCUUCUCACCACUUCCCUGCUCCCUCCCCUGGACCGAGCUGCCAUCCUCUCCUGCCUCAGUGGUUGUUGCCGCCUCCCUUGUGCUUGGACGUGCCCUCCCACAUGCCCUUCCAACACAGCCAGAGGUCUCUUUCAAAACAUAAGUCAGCCCUUGUUUCUCCCCUGCCCAAACCUUCCAGUGGCUUCUGAUCUACCUAAGGGUAAAACCCAAGGGCAUCAUUUUCUUUGGAGGGAGUUUUCUUAAUCAUUUUUAUAUCUAUGGGGCAUUUCAUGCCAUUGGUAGCCAGACAUCAUCAAAACAGAUGGUGGAAUUGUUCUCAGCUAACAAAAAUUUUACCUCUUUUUUACAAGGCAAGAAAACAUUUUUAGAUAGUUCUAGAUCAGCAUUUUCUAAACCUACUUGACCAUGAAACAUUUUAAAAUUAUGAUAUAUGGAUAGAACACCAAGAGGAGCUCAUGAAAUAUAAAUGUGGGCUUAGAUUAUAGUAGACAGCACCAAAAAAGUUCUCAAAGGUGAA